UACAGAGGUGGCAAGCGUUGUUCGGAAUUACUGGGCGUACAGGGAGCGUAGGCGGUUGGGUAAGCCCUCCGUGAAAUCUCCGGGCCUAACCCGGAAAGUGCGGAGGGGACUGCUCGGCUAGAGGAUGGGAGAGGAGCGCGGAAUUCCCGGUGUAGCGGUGAAAUGCGUAGAGAGUCGGGAGGAAGGCCGGUGGCGAAGGCGGCGCUCUGGAACAUUCUG
rnacentral:rRNA from 1 species